rnacentral:rRNA from 1 species
AUUGAACGCUGGCGGCAUGCCUUACACAUGCAAGUCGAACGGCGGCGGACCUUCGGGUGCCGGCGAGUGGCGAACGGGUGAGUAAUAUAUCGGAACGUGCCUUUCAGUGGGGGAUAACGUAGCGAAAGUUACGCUAAUACCGCAUAUUCUCUGAGGAGGAAAGCAGGGGACCUUCGGGCCUUGCGCUGAUAGAGCGGCCGAUAUCAGAUUAGCUAGUUGGUGGGGUAAAGGCCUACCAAGGCGACGAUCUGUAGCGGGUCUGAGAGGAUGAUCCGCCACACUGGGACUGAGACACGGCCCAGACUCCUACGGGAGGCAGCAGUGGGGAAUUUUGGACAAUGGGCGAAAGCCUGAUCCAGCCAUGCCGCGUGAGUGAAGAAGGCCUUCGGGUUGUAAAGCUCUUUCGGCCGGGAAGAGAUCGCACAGGCUAAUACCUUGUGUGGAUGACGGUACCGGAAUAAGAAGCACCGGCUAACUACGUGCCAGCCGCCGCCGUAA